UACGUAGGGGGCAAGCGUUGUCCGGAUUUAUUGGGCGUAAAGAGCGUGUAGGCGGCCAGGUAGGUCUGCUGUGAAAACUCGAGGCUUAACCUCGAGCUGUCGGCGGAAACCAUCUGGCUAGAGUCCGGAAGAGGAGAAUGGAAUUCCCGAGUGUGAGCGGUGAAAUGACGCAGAUAUCGGGAAGAACACCCGUGGCGAAGGCGGUUCUCUGGGACGGUACUGA
rnacentral:rRNA from 1 species